UACGGAGGGUGCAAGCGUUAAUCGGAAUUACUGGGCGUAAAGCGUGCGCAGGCGGUUUGUUAAGUCUGUUGUGAAAUCCCCGAGCUCAACUUGGGAAUUGCAAUGGAUACUGGCAAGCUGGAGUAUGGUAGAGGAAGGUGGAAUUCCCGGUGUAGCAGUGAAAUGCGUAGAGAUGCGGAGGAACACCGAUGGCGAAGGCAGCCCCCUGGGCUAACACUGACGCUCAGGCACGAAAGCGUGGGGAGCAAACAGG
rnacentral:rRNA from 1 species